UACGAAGGGGGCUAGCGUUGUUCGGAAUUACUGGGCGUAAAGCGCACGUAGGCGGACAUUUAAGUCAGGGGUGAAAUCCCAGAGCCUCAACUCUGGAACUGCCUUUGAUACUGGGUGUCUUGAGUAUGGAAGAGGUGAGUGGAAUUCCGAGUGUAGAGGUGAAAUUCGUAGAUAUUCGGAGGAACACCAGUGGCGAAGGCG
rnacentral:rRNA from 1 species